GGUGCAAGCGUUAUCGGAAUUACUGGGCGUAAAGCGUGCGCAGGCGGUUUUGUAAGUCUGUCGUGAAAGCCCCGGGCUCAACCUGGGAAUUGCGAUGGAGACUGCAAGGCUUGAAUCUGGCAGAGGGGGGUAGAAUUCCACGUGUAGCAGUGAAAUGCGUAGAGAUGUGGAGGAACACCGAUGGCGAAGGCAGCCCCCUGGGUCAAGAUUGACGCUCAUGCACGAAAGCGUGGGGAGCAAACAGGAUUAGAUACCCUGGUAGUCAAGGGCG
rnacentral:rRNA from 1 species